AAUAAGUGAUGAUUAUGUCAGUAAGAAAAAGGAAAGGUCUAGUGGCUAUGCUUAUGGGAUAGAUUAAAAUUGCCAUGAUCUGAAGAGGGAGGAUUUAUUUUUGUCCUCUUCCUAUAUGAAAUGGCUGAACAGAAAAAA